AUGCUCGCUCUUGGACCAUCUUCUGUUUCUCCUCCGCCGACCCCUGACUCCAGAUACGCCCCCUCUUCCCUUGCCUGCAGUCUCCUGGUUAGUUUCCACCCCCUUCCCUAUCAGGCCUGGGCCGAUCUGCUCACCGUGCGCGGCCUCCUCCGCGGUGGGGUGGCAGUCCCGAGGCCUGUGGCCGGGGGCCGGCGGGGUGGAGGCCAGGACCGGGGGCCGGCGAAGCUGGGGCCCCUGUUGUCCCUCGAGGCCGGAGCGGCAGAACGAGGGGGGAGGAGGCCGCAUGGUGUCGGGCCCUCGGAGGAAGGUCGGAAGGUCACCGACAGGAUGGGUAACCUGGGUCCUAAAGAGGGCAAGUGACUUAGCUGAGGUCAUACAACUAGGCAUUAGCAGAGCUGGGAUUCAAAUGAAGAUUAUCCAACUGGAGAAAUGAUUAUUUUUCACAUGUGAAUUUUAGUAUGUUCCCUCCCAACUUGGAAACAUCACUUUGUAAGUACUAUAAAGAGCACUGUAUUAGAAUAAAAAUAACACUUUUUAAAUCUUAUCUGUUUGA
rnacentral:lncRNA from 1 species